UUCGAAAUUUUCGCGCCAGAAUGGCCUAAUGGUAAAAGACAUCGAGUAGUGGUCAGGCGAACCGAGUUCGAGACCCACCAUGUGCUCUAUUUAUAAAUUAAGCAAGAAUCGAACCCGGUCUUCCCGGGUACCAAGUAUUGUCGUUAUCCAUUCGACCACGCUAAAUCACUGAUCAAACUUUUCGGCUGUUUAUAUUUUAUAGACCUAAUGCAACGGGACUAUGGAAUGACAAUAGAUAGAGGUAUUAGUAGUCGACGUCAGUGUGGAAGGACAGUCCAGUGGUAUGUGACAGGGAUUCUCCACUGGUGAACUCAAGUUCGAGUCCCGUGCCGUCCUUAGGCAAAGCCUUCAUCGUUUCGCUCAGAAUUUUUCCACACAAGAUCUUCACUCACUUCCUGUUUCAAAUUAAAAGUUUUUUUUUCUUUCCGGAAGUGACGUCAUUGCCGGAAGCCUAUUUAAGCCGGGCCAUCGAGGGACUCGUUCUUUCUCACUUUCGACAGCCUCCGCACGUCCUCACGCUGCUCCUGCUCUGCACGCCCGUCCAGAAGACCAGGUAAACUCCAACAAGGACAAAAGCGACGUUAGACGAGAGGGUAAGUAGACAAAACGCAUUUCUAAAUUCACAAUUAAACCGAACUAAUGUGCAUGCGUGCGUGUUAAUUGUGUCAUUUCUGUUCACAGGUACAAAUCUUCAAAUGGACUCUCCCACGGGCCACUCGCUGCUUUGCAUCUGCUACAGAAUGGCCGAAUUGACUGCAACACGGCUCACGUUGACAGAACGACCCACAAAAUGGCUGCCAUCCUGUGGAGAUUUGGGCCCUGGCUUCACGAGGCUGUGGCAGG